rnacentral:rRNA from 1 species
UACGGGGGGGGCAAGCGUUGUUCGGAAUUACUGGGCGUCAAGCGCGCGCAGGCGGGCUGGUCAGUCUGGGGUGAAAUCUCACGGCUCAACCGUGAGAGGUCCCUGGAUACUGCUAGCCUUGAGGGGCUCAGAGGAGAGUGGAAUUCACGGUGUAGCAGUGAAAUGCGUAGAUAUCGUGAGGAAGACCAGUUGCGAAGGCGGAUCUCUGGGCAGUUCCUGACACUGAGGCACGAAGGCCAGGGGAGCAAACGGG